rnacentral:rRNA from 1 species
AGUGAACGCUGGCGGUAGGCCUAACACAUGCAAGUCGAACGGCAGCACAGUAAGAGCUUGCUCUUACGGGUGGCGAGUGGCGGACGGGUGAGGAAUACAUCGGAAUCUACUUUUUCGUGGGGGAUAACGUAGGGAAACUUACGCUAAUACCGCAUACGACCUACGGGUGAAAGCAGGGGAUCUUCGGACCUUGCGCGAUUGAAUGAGCCGAUGUCGGAUUAGCUAGUUGGCGGGGUAAAGGCCCACCAAGGCGACGAUCCGUAGCUGGUCUGAGAGGAUGAUCAGCCACACUGGAACUGUGACACGGUCCUGACUCCUACGGGAGGCAGCAGUGGGGAAUAUUGGACAAUGGGCGCAAGCCUGAUCCAGCCAUACCGCGUGGGUGAAGAAGGCCUUCGGGUUGUAAAGCCCUUUUGUUGGGAAAGAAAAGCAGCAGGUUAAUACCCCGCUGUUCUGACGGUACCCAAAGAAUAAGCACCGGCUAACUUCGUG